rnacentral:rRNA from 1 species
CAAACGACUCUCGGCAACGGAUAUCUCGGCUCUCGCAUCGAUGAAGAACGUAGCGAAAUGCGAUACUUGGUGUGAAUUGCAGAAUCCCGUGAAUCAUCGUCUUUGAACGCAAGUUGCGCCCGAAGCCAUUAGGCCGAGGCGCACGUNUGCCUGGGCGUCACGC